GAACCCAAGGUUUCCUGGGCUACGUUGUUCGUCCCAGGGUUAGCCGGGGCCUAAGUCGAGGCCGAUGGGCGUAGACGAUGGAUAUCAGGUUAAUAUUCCUGAGCCUCCCAAACCCAAAGCACCGAGGACGCGGGGGUGGAGAGAUGACGCCGACUGAAUGUGGCGGAGGUGAGGCUACGGCCGAUCCUACCUUCUCAAAACCAACGCCAAGAAAAGCCGGUGUGUCGUGCUAAGGGAGCCCGUACCGCAAACCAACACAGGUGGGUGGGUAGAGUAUACCAAGGCGUAAGAGUGAAACCUCGUUAAGGAACUCGGCAAAAUAGCCCCGUAACUUCGGAAGAAGGGGUGCCUGCUUCGGCAGGCCGCAGUGAAAGGGACCAACCGACUGUUUAUCAAAAACACAGCAUUGUGCCAAGACGAAAGUCCAAGUAUACGAUGUGACACGUGACCAAUGCGGAAAGAUUAAGGCAAGGGGUUAGCGCAAGCGAAGCUCUGAACCCAAGUCCCCGUGAAUGUCGGCCGUAACAAUAACGGUCCUAAGGUAGCGAAAUUCCUUGUCGGGUAAGUUCCGACCUGCACGAAUCGUGUAACGAGUUGGUCGCUGUCUCAACGAGGCGCUCAGUGAAAUUGUAUUGGCGGUGAAGAUGCCGCCUACCCGCAGAAGGACGGAAAGACCCUGUGAACCUUAACUGUAAGCUGUUACUGGUUUUUCGUUUUCGAUGCUCAGCGUAAGUGGGAGACUUUGAAGCCUUUCUUUAGGGGAAGGCCGAGCCGUCAAUGAGACACCACCCUUCGAAUAUGGGAAAUCUAACCCCGAGCCUUAUAUCAGGACGGGGAACACUGGCAGCCGGUCAGUUUUACUGGGGCGGUAUCCUCCCAAAAGGUAACGGAGGAGCGCGAUGGUGGGCUCAGCGUGGUUGGCAAUCACGUGUCGAGUGCAUAGGCAUAAGCCCGCCUAACUGUGAGACUUACAGGUCGAGCAGAUACGAAAGUAGGCCUAAGUGAUCCGGUAGUAGAAUGUGGAAUUGCUAUCGCUCAACGGAUAAAAGGUACUCUAGGGAUAACAGGCUGAUUUCAUCCAAGAGUUCAUAUCGACGAUGAAGUUUGGCACCUCGAUGUCGGCUCGUCGCAUCCUGGGGCUGGAGAAGGUCCCAAGGGUCCGGCUGUUCGCCGGUUAAAGCGGCACGCGAGCUGGGUUCAGAACGUCGCGAGACAGUUCGGCCCUCUAUCCUCUGUGGGCGUAGGAGAAUUGAGGGGUUCAAACCCUAGUACGAGAGGACCGGGUUUGACGCACCUCUGGUGUUCCAGUUGUUCUGUCAAGGGCAUCGCUGGGCAGCUACGUGCGGAAGAGAUAAGCGCUGAAAGCAUCUAAGCGCCAAGCUCCUCCCAAGAUGAGUUCUCCCUGAAGGAUCGUGGAAGGCUACCACGUUGAUAGGCUGCGGGUCGAAGCAUGGCAACAUGCGUAGCUUAGUAGUACUAAUCAUCC
rnacentral:rRNA from 1 species